UUUCCUGGGUGCCAAUAGAGCAGCAAACUGGAAUUCUUUACUCCCAAAUUUCUGUUGUGACUUCCUUUCUUCAGCAGCUGUACAGCUAACAUGAAGUGUUAAGGUUCUCAUAGCAGAAUUUGCCAGUUUUGGGGAGAACAAGGGAAAGAAACAGCUCCAGGUCAAAUCUAAAUAGGGAACAGGAACAGGGGACCAGGGAGGAGGGUGUUCAGGGGGUUCCUAAGCUGCCUCUAUUUCUACCCUGUUGCAGCAAUGAGAGCAGAAUCAGCAGCACCCACUUCUUUGUUAUUCAGGGCAGCAGCUCUUUGUGCUACUGCUUUGAAUGCUCUUAACCAAACAUAGAGGGUGAUACCCUACCCUUCCCCAACUCCCCUGCUGUAACUGCUUUCUGAGCUGAGGUUUGAGGGCAGCACCAGGGGGGAUCACCAAAUCUAAUUGUAUCUUCCUUUUCUCUCCCUUCCCAUGUGCAUCGAUUGAAGUUUCCUGAAGGUGAGGUGAUGUUUUACAGUUGGUAAUGGACUUUUAUCUAAAAUGUGAUAGUUAUUUUUGUUGUUCUUUUCCAAGAAAGUCGAGCAGCAGGGAUUGAAACUUCUUUUCAGCAAAAGGCAAAGCACAGGGCUAAAGCCUCUGGCCUGUGUCUUAGAGAAUGGAUGCGAUGUGUGUGUGAUGGCCUCUGUCAGUCCCAGUGGGAAAUCCCUGCAAGAAAAGUGGUAGCUGAACACUUAUGCAGAAGGAACUUUAAUGUGGUAAUGCCUCCUGCAAUUUUAAUUGAUUAGCGAUUGGUUAGUGUGACAUGGACCCUGGAGUUGCAGAGGUCAUCGUUGCCUGGGGUUUCUGAGAGUUAAGGAGCAAACAGCAGUUCUUGACCCUUUGGCUGUUACAGACCAGGCCAUUAGAAAUGGUUCUCCCAGUAACUUGGUCAAUGUGUGGUCCACAAAAAUUGGAUUUGUUACUGGGGUGCAACAGGUAAAUGAUGAGCCACUUGAGAGAGACAUUGGAUGCUGGUUUCAGUGUUUCACCAGUCUGGGCGCUCAGUGGUAUUUCACAAAUCAGACACACCCACUUCCAAAAGAACUUCUAUUAUUUAUAAAUUUAAACCAAGAAAGAAAUUAGCAUUAAGUGGUUGCAAGUGACAUGGUUAUCUUCUUAGCCAGUAUUUUGUCUUCUUUUGGUUAGUGAUUGUCUCUCUUCUCACUGUAAUUAGUCCACUGAGUGCAUUGCUCAGUCUGCCUCUUCUUUUGGGCUGGGGAGGUUCUUGAGUUGCCGCUCCACGAGUCGGUGGUCGCAAUCUCCCCCUGCAGGAAUUACUUUUUACCAGUCAGAGCUGAUUUCAGGACAGUUGGGUUUCUUAGUUCCUUAUCCUGGGAGUUGUUCCAGAUUUCCAUGGGGCCCCUCAAUUCUGCAUUCUUUGCAUUCUUUGUGUCCACUCUCAGUGGGCAUCCUUCUCCCCAAACUUUGUUAAGCCUUCCCUGGGUCUGAGCUCCUUGAAGCAUGUCAAGCCCUGAACCUUAACAAGGCAAUUCUACCAACAAGGAAUUUGUUUUUCUGCCCCAUGGGCAUCACUUAGAUCUUGUUUGUGAGUUGUUGUCUAUUUAAUGGACCAUAUCUCCCAGUUGAUUUGGCUUGAACAUACAUAAAGAUCAAACAUGAAUACAAGCGGCAUCCUUCCUUAAGAAAUCUUUUACAUAUUCUGCAUUUUGCAUCACAUAUAACUCCAUUCUUAAAUUAGCUUAAUUAAGGAGGAAGAUAAUGACAAUUUUCUAAGGGCAUACUGCUUCAAGUAAUUUUUAGUUUCCAUGGACUGUCUUUGAGAAUCUCAGGUCACCUUUUUUAGCUGUGUGUAGGCUGAACAGAGCAAAAAUUUUGUGUUGUUUUGUAGCAGAGGAGCCACAAUGUGUGGAAGGGUCCACUCUUAGAAUUUGGGAAAGUAGCUUGUUUAUGCUUGUUUUUAAACCAGCUGAAUAGAGUCCAUUUCAAAUAGGAAGCAUUGCUGACUAUUUAUAUAACUCAUUUCAAGGGUAGCUCCAGGGAGAGAGAGAAUAAGAGAUCUAAUUUCUGAAAAUUAAAUUACAGUGUAUGGACAGGAAAGCAGAAAUGUUACACUGAACAGCCAGGAGCAGGUGGAUGGCUCUGGUAAUGGAACAGGAGCUCAUGAUGCACCUGUGGCUGACCCAGCCCCUGCAGAACAGGGAGCAGCAGAGGAGGACACUGCACAAUCGGAGUAUGUAUGGCUCAUGCCCUACCAAACACAGAGUUCUGUGCCUUUCUUUCUUUCCUGUGUAGGACUAAGUUCUACAAGUAUGCCUGGUUUAUCUUUGAGGCCUUCCCAUACUCUACUUAUUUCCCUCUUUCUCCCAUGUUGCAUGACGAUCAAAUGAUACCGUUUGCAUUUUGGGAGAAAAAGGCAGCCCAGAGCAGAUGUACAACUUUGCACAGAGCCUUAGAGAUGAGGGUGGGGGUAUGGCAAGGAAGGGGGGGGAUUGGUCACAGGCCAUGGCUCACUAUUGCAUUUGCUUUUCCUGACAAGCUCUGGUAGUGAUGUUAGAUGUGGAAAUGAAAUGUUAUCACGUGGGCUUGGCAUCAUGGAACUGGCAGGCAGCAGCUGGGCAAAUUCCAGUAGAAAUUCCCUGCUGGAAUGGUGCCAGCUGGUUGCCUUUCUCCUGGAGCUGGAGCCCUUCUUCCCAAGGUAGACUUGCACAGAGGCAGCUGUGGAGGUCAUGCUUUUAUGGCCAGUGCUGGGUGUCAUAAGCCCUGAUUUGUUUGCUUCUGUGGUGGAGAUCUUGCAGUUCAGGUUGGGUAAAAUCCUGCACAGUAAAAUCCCCAAGCUGCAGAGAAACAGGAAAGCCCUGCUGUAGGAGCACUCCAUCAGGAUAAGAAAGAUGCAAGUCAUUAGACUGAUUAAACCAGGUGCCUGUGUCACUAGGGAAGACAAAGAACAUGAGAAUUAUGGUAUAAGCUUUUCUAAAGUGUUUUUUUGGGGUGGGGGGAAAGACAGAGGUUUUAAUAUUACUGGUGUGCUUUGAGCCUUCUGGAAAGGCAAUAUAGGAGAGAACUUCAGUAUGGAACUUUCAGGUGUCAGGCCUUAAAAAUGCCACCUAAAGGGCUUCUACUAUUCUAAACCAUAAUGCAUUUUGCCAAUGAAUUUGUAGAUGUUUAAGUUUUGGUUGUUAAGUCUGUUGGUGAACAAAUGCCACCACCUGGUUAAUAUGAAAAAGGAAUGUUUUGUUCCUUCAGUCUCAAGCUUCUCAGUUGCUGAGUGUAGCUGCUCUGUUUAGGUAAGGCUGAAAGAGCUCAGUGCUGCAGCAUUUAAAAUUGACCAAAGGCUCCUUCCCAGGGCAGGAUGUUGCCAGAGCUGUUACUCUGUAAUUUAGAACUGGAUCCUGGAAUGAAUAUUCUGGGGUGAAGCAUUCCCAGAGGACAGCUGGAUGCUGUAGUCACAAAGCUCUUACUGGUGACCUGCUGGAAGUCAAAGCUGCCACACAGCAACUGGCCAGUGCUAGAGACUGCUGUUACUUCAAAUCCCAGAGCAGGGUGCCUGCCUGCACCUUUCUCCUGGUGAAAAGCAGGACACCCUUUCCCUCAAAGCAGGGAGGCCCCAAAUCCUCAUUAAAUGCAGCACACAGAGACUUAAAGGCAGCAGGGUUCUUAGAGGAAAUGUGUCAUGGCUAGUCAGUGCAGUUGCAUGAUUACAUGAGAUUUUAUGUAUCAAUAAGCAUUGAAGUGUGGUGAUCUUACCAGCUGCAUGUUCUUUCUAGUUCUGUUUCCUCCAGUGCACAGCAAGGAGUUGUCAUUAGGUGUCCAAUUUGCAUGGAAUUUUACUCCGAGAUUCUACAACAUGGACAACAGCUUGUGGUGACCCUGUGUGGCCAUGUCUUCUGCAGUAGAUGCCUCCCUAUUGCCCUGGAGACUACUCACAGGUGCCCAACCUGCAGGGUGGAACUUACUCCAGAUCUGUAUAUUCCCAUUUAUAUAUGAGUGCUUCUGCUUCUCAGGACACACUCAGAUGGAUCUUGGACAAUAGUCUUUAUGUAUAUAGUUCUUCCUGUUUCUUUAUGUAUAUAGUUCUUCCUGCACAUAGUUUCAUUUUUUGCUGAAUUCAAUUUAAAUAAAGUUUUGAAUAGUUGAAA